UACGAAGGGGGCGAGCGUUGUUCGGAAUUACUGGGCGUAAAGGGCGCGCAGGCGGCCCUUGAAGUCAGGCGUGAAAGCCCCGGGCUCAACCUGGGAGGUGCGCUUGAUACUCGAGGGCUUGAGUGCGGGAGAGGAGAGUGGAAUUCCCAGUGUAGAGGUGAAAUUCGUAGAUAUCGGGAGGAACACCUGUGGCGAAAGCGGCUCACUGGACCACAACUGACGCUGAGGCGCGAAAGCUAGGGGAGCAAACAGG
rnacentral:rRNA from 1 species